ACCCUCCUCGCCACCGCUGCUGCUUUGGCCACAGUAAAAAGCGGCACUCUCUCAAGCCCUAAUUUCAAAAUUCAAUAAAAAUUCUUCCAGUGAUCUGCGCACACUUUGAAACUACCAAAAGAGCUUAAAAAACUGAUCAAGAUGCCGCAAGUGAGGAUUAUAGCCAAGAACUUCAUGGACAUGGUGGCCUCGUUACCUGCCAUGAAGCUCGACAGGCUAUACGAAAAUGCCUUUAUCUGUGAAGCUAUUCUCAGGUCUUUGCCACCACUGGCCAAGAAGUAUGUUCUCCAAUUAUUGUAUAUAGAUGCUCCUGUGACCGCCAGUUCAUUGCAAGAGUGGGUUCUUGUUGAUGGUGCUACAAAGCAUAGAGUUGCUGUUGAUAGGCUCAUCCAGUUGAGAAUCUUUACUGAAACUGUCGAUAGGAAGAAGGAAGCCACUUACAAGCUAAACUUGAUGUUUCAGAUGAACCUCCGGAAGCAUAUUGUUCAUGGUGGUGUGUUGCCAAGGGAACCCAUGGCUGCAAAUAUAACAGUAAGACUCCCAAGCUUAGAGGAGCUAGACAACUAUGCUUCUCAACAGUGGGAGUGUUUCUUGCUGCAUCUCAUAAACUCUGCUGAAGUUGAGGUUACAACCAAAAGCAUCAGCCUUUCUAUGAUGAAAGUCUUCCAACGAGGCCUUUUAAGUCAAAGGGACAAUGAAGGUCCUCGACUUACAGAGAGUGGCUUUCAGUUUCUGCUGAUGGACACCAACGCACAACUCUGGUAUAUCGUCAGGGAGUAUAUCAGUAAUUCUGAGGAUAGAGGUGUGGAUUCAGCAGAUCUUAUCUCAUUUCUGCUGGAACUUAGCUUUCACGUUACUGGCGAGGCAUAUAAUAUGAACACUUUAACUGAUAUACAAAGGACAACAGUUAAAGACCUUGCAGACUUGGGACUCAUCAAACUCCAGCAGGGGAGGAAAGACAGUUGGUUCAUACCUACUAAAUUGGCUACCAACCUCUCUAUUAGCCUGUCAGAUGCAUCAUCAAGGAAACAGGGAUAUGUCGUCGUGGAAACGAACUUCAGGCUUUAUGCCUACUCAACCUCUAAGUUACAUUGUGAAAUCUUAAGACUCUUUGCAAGGAUAGAAUAUCAACUUCCUAACCUUAUUGUUGGGUCCAUUACAAAAGAGAACCUGUACAAAGCCUUUUCAAAUGGCAUUACAGCAGACCAGGCAAAUAAUUUCAUUUCUCCAGCAGAACGCUCAUCCUCGUGUAGCAGAAAGAGUGCCGUCUGUACCAGAAAAUGUCACGGAUCAGGUUAGGCUGUGGGAAUCAGAUCUAAAUAGGGUAGAGAUGACACCUGCUCAUUUCUUUGAUGAUUUUCCAUCAAGGGAUGUGUUUGAAGCAGCUUGUGAUUUUGCAAGAGAAUACAGCAGUUUACUGUGGGAAGACUCGAAAAAGAUGCGCCUUCUAGUCAAAACCGAAAUCUAUUCACACAUGAAAGAAUUUCUGAGCCAUCAAAAAUAGCUGCUCUGCAUCGAGAGGAAUUUUUUUUUCAUAAUAAACUUCACCUUUCGCUCUGUAAAUCUCAUCUUUCACAAACAUUGCAUAUUAAUUAAUAACGUGGGUAUGUGAUGAA